UACGGGGGGGGCAAGCGUUGUUCGGAAUUACUGGGCGUAAAGGGCCAGUAGGCGGCCAACUAAGUCCGACGUGAAAUCCCCAGGCUUAACCUGGGAACUGCAUUCGGGACUGCAUUGCUAGAGUAUGGGAGAGGGAAGUGGAAUUUCAGGUGUAGCGGUGAAAUGCGUAGAUAUCUGAAGGAACAUCAGUGGCGAAAGCGACUUCCUGGACCAAUACUGACGCUCAUGUGCGAAAGCGUGGGGAGCAAACAGGAUUAAA
rnacentral:rRNA from 1 species